rnacentral:rRNA from 1 species
GGGGAUUCCCCUAGUAGCGGCGAGCGAAGCGGGAAGAGCUCAAAUUUAUAAUCUGGCACCUUCGGUGUCCGAGUUGUAAUCUCUAGAAAUGUUUUCCGCGUUGGACCGCACACAAGUCUGUUGGAAUACAGCGGCAUAGUGGUGAGACCCCCGUAUAUGGUGCGGACGCCCAGCGCUUUGUGAUACAUUUUCGAAGAGUCGAGUUGUUUGGGAAUGCAGCUCAAAUUGGGUGGUAAAUUCCAUCUAAAGCUAAAUAUUGGCGAGAGACCGAUAGCGAACAAGUACCGUGAGGGAAAGAUGAAAAGCACUUUGGAAAGAGAGUUAACAGUACGUGAAAUUGUUGGAAGGGAAACGCUUGAAGUCAGACUUGCUUGCUGAGCAAUCGGUUUGCAGGCCAGCAUCAGUUUUCCGGGAUGGAUAAUGGUAGAGAGAAGGUAGCAGUUUCGGCUGUGUUAUAGCUCUCUGCUGGAUACAUCUUGGGGGACUGAGGAACGCAGUGUGCCUUUGGCGGGGGUUUCGACCUCUUCACACUUAGGAUGCUGGUGGAAUGGCUUUAAACGACCCGUCUUGAAACACGGACCA